rnacentral:rRNA from 1 species
AGCAGCCGCGGUAAUUCCAGCUCCAAUAGCGUAUAUUAAAGUUGUUGCAGUUAAAAAGCUCGUAGUUGAAUUUCGGGAUCAAGGAAUCGGUCAUGCCUCGGUAUGUACUGGUUUUAUUGGUUCUCACCUUCUAAAGAACCAUAAUGUCAUUCAUUUGAUGUUAUGGGGAAUUAGGACUGUUACCUUGAAAAAUUAGAGUGUUUAAAGCAGGCUUACGCUUGAAUACAUUAGCAUGGAAUAAUGAAAUAGGACGUUCGAUCCUAUUUUGUUGGUUUCUAGGAUUGACGUAAUGAUUAAUAGGGAUAGUUGGGGGCAUUAGUAUUCAAUUGUCAGAGGUGAAAUUCUUGGAUUUAUUGAAGACUAACUACUGCGAAAGCAUUUGCCAAGGAUGUUUUCAUUAAUCAAGAACGAAAGUUAGGGGAUCGAAGACGAUCAGAUACCGUCGUAGUCUUAACCAUAAACUAUGCCGACUAGGGAUCGGGAUGAUGUUAAUUUUUUAAUGACUCA